rnacentral:rRNA from 1 species
UACGAAGGGUGCAAGCGUUAAUCGGAAUUACUGGGCGUAAAGCGUGCGCAGGCGGUUUUGUAAGACAGGCGUGAAAUCCCCGGGCUCAACCUGGGAAUGGCGCUUGUGACUGCAAAGCUGGAGUGCGGCAGAGGGGGAUGGAAUUCCGCGUGUAGCAGUGAAAUGCGUAGAUAUGCGGAGGAACACCGAUGGCGAAGGCAAUCCCCUGGGCCUGCACUGACGCUCAUGCACGAAAGCGUGGGGAGCAAACAGG